AUUGAACGCUGGCGGCAUGCUUUACACAUGCAAGUCGGACGGCAGCACAGAGAAGCUUGCUUCUUGGGUGGCGAGUGGCGAACGGGUGAGUAACAUAUCGGAACGUACCGAGUAGUGGGGGAUAACUGAUCGAAAGAUCAGCUAAUACCGCAUACGUCUUGAGAGGGAAAGCAGGGGACCUUCGGGCCUUGCGCUAUUCGAGCGGCCGAUAUCUGAUUAGCUAGUUGGUGGGGUAAAGGCCUACCAAGGCGACGAUCAGUAGCGGGUCUGAGAGGAUGAUCCGCCACACUGGGACUGAGACACGGCCCAGACUCCUACGGGAGGCAGCAGUGGGGAAUUUUGGACAAUGGGCGCAAGCCUGAUCCAGCCAUGCCGCGUGUCUGAAGAAGGCCUUCGGGUUGUAAAGGACUUUUGUCAGGGAAGAAAAGGCUGUUGCUAAUAUCAGCGGCUGAUG
rnacentral:rRNA from 1 species